rnacentral:rRNA from 1 species
AAUAAGCGGAGGAAAAGAAGCCAACAGGGAUUGCCCCAGUAACGGCGAGUGAAGCGGCAACAGCUCAAAUUUGAAAUCUGGCCCCAGGCCCGAGUUGUAAUUUGCAGAGGAUGCUUUUGGCGCGGUGCCUUCCGAGUUCCCUGGAACGGGACGCCAUAGAGGGUGAGAGCCCCGUACGGUUGGACACCAAGUCUUUGUAAAGCUCCUUCGACGAGUCGAGUAGUUUGGGAAUGCUGCUCAAAAUGGGAGGUAUAUUUCUUCUAAAGCUAAAUAUUGGCCAGAGACCGAUAGCGCACAAGUAGAGUGAUCGAAAGAUGAAAAGCACUUUGAAAAGAGGGUUAAACAGCACGUGAAAUUGUUAAAAGGGAAGCGCUUAUGACCAGACUUGCGCCCGGUGAAUCACCCAGCUCUCGCGGCUGGGGCACUUUGCCGGCUCAGGCCAGCAUCAGCUCGCUGUCGGGGACAAAAGCUUCGGGAACGUAGCUCUCUUCGGGGAGUGUUAUAGCCCGUUGCACAAUACCCUUCGGCGGGCUGAGGUACGCGCUCCGCAAGGAUGCUGGCGUAAUGGUCAUCAGCGACCCGUCUUGAAACACGGACCAAGGAGUCAACCUUAUGUGCG